AGAGAAACAAGUGCCUCGGUGAGCUAUCAUCCUGGCGUCCGGGUUUCCAUCUGUGAAAUCAGACCGUUUUGCUGGAAGCCCUCUUCCCGCCUCUGAGACCAUGUCUCUAGGAGACCGGCUGAGAGGAGGGUGAGGGGGCUAAAGGUGACCAGCUCAGCCUUUGCUUGUAUUCUUCAAGAACGAUCCAUUCCCUGCCAACUCGGGCUUCCUAUGGUUGCUGUUGGAAUACAUGUUUCUUUCCACAGUCCAAAUGCUCGGCACCAUUAGAACUGAGACCAAUAUGUGGGUGCUUCUAAAAGCUUAUACAAACCAAAUGCACGCAAUUCCACCGUAACUCCCAGCUUCUCCAGUCCACUACCGCCAGGUGAAGAGGUAAACAGCACGUGAUUGGAUAACAACUCUGGGCUAACGUAAGAGGCUCUCUCCCCAUCUCAGAGCCAGGCUGGAGAUGAUCGUAUAGUCCCCAAAUGGACAUAAAUUUCAAUGGCGUACUCUGCACAACUGCCUUCUCAUUAAGUGCGCACAUGCUGGAAGACGUGAUGGUGCUUUGUCCUUUACAGUAAUGCUUUGGGAAUGACUACGUACCCCAAGCCGCAGAACUCCUAAGUGCUAGCACAGGGUUUCCCAGGAGCCUUUACCAGGUCACGUGGCUGGAAGUGCUGCUGAGACUUGCUUCAGAGCAGAAAGUCCUGUGUCCCUUGGGCCCUUCCCCCAUCUAGUCCUGGGGGAGGGGACAAGUGCGGAACCAAUAGCUGCCCCCCAAACACGUGGGAGGACGGACUGGCCUGAAGACACCUUCAGAGAGCACCUUUAUUAGCUGCUCACUUUUCUCACCUUCUUAUCUUCCAGAGACUGGAAAUGCAGCACAUGGAGGGAGAGGCUAGCUCCAUCCAAGAGUACAAAUUAGAAGGCGGAGGAAGGAUGCCAUAGCUUUCUGAGGCUUCCCCUGCCUUCGAAGCCCUUGCCCAAGACCAUCUGAGACCCCCAGCUCCGGACCACCUCCUCACACUUUGUGCUACUUCACCAGGCAUCCAUAAUCCCCCAGUGGGCUCCUGGAGGGCUCAGGCAGUGGGGAACUACUGAGUACUAGUAUUGACAUUGCUAUUACUGUGAACUGCUGCAUCAUAAAAGGGAGAUGCAGUAGUACGACAGUGCAUGGCUCCCCAGUGUGCUGCAUUUCAGCAGAACUACCAUUUGAGUGGCUGCAGAACGUGACUUUAUGUUGUUCCAUAUUUCUAUUCCUUCUACAAACCACUGGGCUCAGGGAGUCACAGGAAACGGUUCAAGGGUGGGAAGGUUUGCAGGAGGACACUGCUCUUCACAGAGAUCUUCAGAGAGGAUUGUUCAGUGCCCCACAAAGAGCCUGGGGUUGCCUGGGAGCCCUAGUUCCCGAGAAUAGCGAGCUGCUGCCAGAAAGACACAGGAACCGGGGUCUUCCCUCAAGCCAGGAUGCGAAGCCGCCAAAGGAAGCAGAGACCUCCCAGAGGGAGAGACAAGGAGCCUCAGGGAGCACAGAGCACUUACACACACAAGGGCCAUCUGUCCAGCUCUGAGUGUCUCCUAACAGAGCAUCCUGGGGAAUUCACUAAAAUUAAGAGUCUUCUGAGGAAUGCAAAACAUUCCUGGGGCCAGGGGCAGGCUGGCCUCUAGCCUGUGGCCUUGACAUGGGAGCCUUGCGACUAAAAGAAAUAAAAGAUGCUUCAGUUGGAGUUGACCUCCCUUCUCUGGCGCCAAAGCCCACCCCCCGAGUUGCCUUUUGAGUCUUUGGAUCCCAAAGACUUGUGUGUUGGGAGAAGGCUGGAGCCAUCGACUUGCUAGACUUCUAAUGCUUUGUCUCCCCUUUGGAAUGGGCCCUGGCUUUUCAUUGCAGAAGCUCUCUGGGUGAAAGGGGUAAAGGUUGUCAUUACAGCGGUGAGAGCAGAAUAAGCAGUGUGUUCAUUAGGCUUCCCCACAGAAACAGAACGGCUAAGACAUGUAUACAGCUGGUGGUCAGUGUGUGUCCUCCACGUCUGACUAGCUGGAGUUGCAGGGAAAUCAUUGCAACUGUGUGGAACUCUGUAGGAUUUCCUCUGUUAUUAGUCCCUAUGCUUUACAGCGUGAGAAUUACUUAUGUCAUGUUCACUCUGCGAAUGGGGUCAUUCAGAGAAUGUAGAAGCAUGCGUGUGACUUACAUGGAAAUAUCACAUUCAUUAAGAGUCUUGAGUAUCUGCAUAUUUGGGUAUCCAUAGUGGACUGGAACCAGUCGCCCAAGAAAGUGGCUCAGGAGAUUAUGGGUUGAUGAAUGGAAUGUCUGUUAGGCAGGACCCACAGCUGGAGAUUAAGAUAAGGGUUGAUGUUGCAAUCUGAAGUCUGCCCUCCACUGAGCUGAGAAUUUAGCAGAAUCCUGAGCAAAAUGGCAGGCAGAGAUGUGUUUAUGCCAUAAACCUCACUCAGUGUUCUCUCUGAAGGCCAUAAAUUGAUCAAAUGAGACCCUGCCCGCAUCACAGAAGCCAAUCUCUUUAUUCAAGGGCCUAUUAAGUUAGAUGUUAAUAUCACUUAAAAUACCUUCACUAUAGCAACUAGACUGGAGUUGAUCUGACAGCUGGGCCUUUGGGCCCAUAGGCUAGCCAAGCUGCUACCUGAAAUUAGCCAUCUUAGGCAAUGAUGACCUAUUCUGGAGUGUGACCAAUAGUCCACAUUGCCUCAUGUCCCCAUGAGGACAGACUCCAUGCAGAGAGUGUAUGCCCAUAAAAGGCCUUCCAGGAUUCCAGGGUGGAGGCAGCCUCUUUUCCUUGUAUGUUGGCUAGAGUCUUAUUAUGUAGCUCAGGCUGUCCUUGAACUCACAAUCAGGUAACCACAUGCUGCUGGGAUCUCAUGCUUUAAUGUACCUGUGUUGCCUAUGACAAUUCAGGGGACUUUUGUUCUUCAGACUCAUGAGUCUGUGUUAGGGCUUGCCAAAUAUUUUCUGUGAAGAGGCAAUGAAAUUGUUUUCAUAUUUUCAAGGCAACGCAUACAUGUUGCAAAAGUAACCAUAGACCAUAAGGCAAUGAAUGGGUGUUGCUUUGACAAUAAAACUUUAUAAAACAAGCA